GUUCCUCUGCUGCAGCAUGAAAGGGUUGCAUGCUGCCAACUGCCCCACAUCUGCUGCAAGGAGGCCCUGCUGUUUAUGGGGACUGACGCCCACUACAUAGCUGACCUUGCUCUGUCUCUUCUCUACGAAUCCACUGUGAAGAAGACGUCAAUGAAUGUUUUUCAAACCCUUGCCAAAAUGGUGGCACUUGUGAGAACUUGCCUGGGAAUUAUACUUGCCAUUGCCCAUUUGAUAACCUUUCUAGAACUUUUUAUGGAGGAAGGGACUGUUCUGCUAUUCUCCUGGGCUGUACCCAUCAGCAAUGUCUAAAUAAUGGAACAUGCAUCCCUCACUUCCAAGAUGGCCAGCAUGGAUUCAGCUGCCUGUGUCCAUCUGGCUACACCGGGUCCCUGUGUGAAAUCGCAACCACACUUUCAUUUGAGGGCGAUGGCUUCCUGUGGGUCAAAAGUGGGUCAGUGACAACCAAGGGCUCAGUUUGUAACAUAGCCCUCAGGUUUCAGACUGUUCAGCCAAUGGCUCUUCUACUUUUCCGAAGCAACAGGGAUGUGUUUGUGAAGCUGGAGCUGCU
rnacentral:sRNA from 1 species